CCCCGAAGUCUCGCAUCUCCCCCUGGGGCUGCAAAACUCCCGAUCUCGGGGACCACAGUGGCACCGGCAACCACCCGGACAUGAGAGGUGGUCUCUUGGCUCUGAAUCAGGCUUUAAGCUUGGGUUUUUCCUCCAGAUUAGGCCAGAUCCUGCAGGAGCCUCUCCAGCCUGCGACCGGUCAGCAUGGCGGUCGGGCCCCGCCCCCUUUUUUUUUUUUUUU